rnacentral:tRNA from 1 species
GCCUGGGUGGCUCAGUCGGUUGAGCGUCCGACUUCGGCUCAGGUUAUGAUCUCACGGUUUGUGGGUUUGAGCCCCACGUCGGGCU